GAGCGGCGGACGGGUGAGUAAUGUCUGGGAAACUGCCUGAUGGAGGGGGAUAACUACUGGAAACGGUAGCUAAUACCGCAUAACGUCGCAAGACCAAAGUGGGGGACCUUCGGGCCUCAUGCCAUCAGAUGUGCCCAGAUGGGAUUAGCUAGUAGGUGGGGUAACGGCUCACCUAGGCGACGAUCCCUAGCUGGUCUGAGAGGAUGACCAGCCACACUGGAACUGAGACACGGUCCAGACUCCUACGGGAGGCAGCAGUGGGGAAUAUUGCACAAUGGGCGCAAGCCUGAUGCAGCCAUGCCGCGUGUGUGAAGAAGGCCUUCGGGUUGUAAAGCACUUUCAGCGGGGAGGAAGGCGAUGAGGUUAAUAACCUUGUCGAUUGACGUUACCCGCAGAAGAAGCACCGGCUAACUCCGUGCCAGCAGCCGCGGUAAUACGGAGGGUGCAAGCGUUAAUCGGAAUUACUGGGCGUAAAGCGCACGCAGGCGGUCUGUCAAGUCGGAUGUGAAAUCCCCGGGCUCAACCUGGGAACUGCAUUCGAAACUGGCAGGCUAGAGUCUUGUAGAGGGGGGUAGAAUUCCAGGUGUAGCGGUGAAAUGCGUAGAGAUCUGGAGGAAUACCGGUGGCGAAGGCGGCCCCCUGGACAAAGACUGACGCUCAGGUGCGAAAGCGUGGGGAGCAAACAGGAUUAGAU
rnacentral:rRNA from 1 species